UCCCUCUGUCAAACACACGGACACGCAAACAUACUUUUAGCUCCUGUGGUACACGUCAGAAUGACUCCUUUGUUAAAUAAGAAAUAUUCGACUUGUGAAACAUAAAUUGCUCGGCUCUAAGAAGAAUUGAAAUGGUGUUGGACGUGGUCCAGCUGAGCGGUGGGCGUUUCCCCUUCAGCUGCGCACCUGUCAUGCAUCGAAAUCAAGCCACGAGAUGAGGACUCCCCUGCCAACAACUGACUGUUGGAAAAUUCGCCUUGCUCCAGCCAUUACUUGUGUGCAAUGUUCCCAACAUUGCUGAUCUUGCUCCGUUUUUGCUCUCGGUUUUCUAGGAGUAGUCCCUUUGGUUUUGGUAAGUUAUUCUCGGUUUGUACUUUUUAUGAACUGGUUUGCUCAUCCUUUUGACACAAGCUAUUUCCUCUUGUAUUUUUCCAUGCCUUUUGCAAGCGCCUUUUGUUACUCUUGUUUUAUCAAGGUGUGGUUACCAGCGUUUUUUUCUUUGUACUUUGUCGGCUUUGCAACACUUUUUCUGGAAAUCAAUAUUUGUUGUGUACAUAUUAUGUGACUGCGUUUUUACAGUCCACUUCUGUCCAGCAUCUGACAGCUAUUAGCUGUUGAAUUAAAAAAAUUAAUUACGGUAAUAUUUUAUUAUUUCUAUGGCUUAUUUUUAUGUUGGGGGGGCGUUAAAUGUAAACGCCACAGUACUGUUGAAAUGUUGCUUACACUUUUUGCAGGGAAAAUUAUACCAGUGAAUGUUAAAAGAUGAGGGCGGAAAAGGUUAAACUCCUUUAAAUUCAAUCUGAAGUGUUUGUUGUACUUAAAAUGUUUGCAAUUAGUUAUUGUUUAUUUGUCUAUUAUAGGCAUGAUUUAUAACUGAAAUCUUGGCAAGAAAAAGCAGGAAUCUUCACCUACACUGUCCACUACCAAGGUAAUCAUUUCAGUUGAUAAAUUGUCGAAAGACACCAUUUCAUUUUGAUUCGUAUCAGUUCAUGAAACAACAUAGUCCUUGAAUCAUAUCGGUCACCGCAAAUCUUGGUACAAAUCAUUUCACUCCUAAUACAGGGAGUGAAUAAAUGCAGUCAGUCCAAAUGAUGUGCAACUUUUAAUUGGCAAGCAAAUGAGGUUGUAAAUUACCCAUCUUCAUGAGGGUCCAGUUGUUGUCCAUCUGCUGGGUGGCCUGAAGGAAAUAACGCCCAUCGGUCCACAUGGCGGCAUACUGCUCCGUGACGAUGGCUGUACCUGUACAUCACAACGCCCACCCAUGACUGAAAAUCUACAACCUCAGACUCAAUGUUGCCACUACAGCAGUGGUUCUCAAACACCAAGUACCACCUCAAAAAAGUACCAAGUACCAACAACCAACAUUAAAAAACAGUAGAAAUUGAGGCAGUUGUUUUAAAUGAAAAUAAUAGGUUUCCACAGACAAAGUGCAUGUUCAUGCAAGGCACAUUUAAAAACACCAUCAAGAACACAUACCUGCUGAACCGUUGAAACCACAGAUAAACUCCCGCCUGCAGUCACAUGGUGCAAUGUAUUCACUCUUAAAGACACAGAGAUAAUACAAACAUAAUACAUGAGUAGAUCACCUCAUUAAUAAUCAGAGCAAAGUGGUCCUCAGCCUGUGUGCCACCUUUGCCCAUUUGUCCUACUCGCAUCGUGACUUGUACAAGGAGAAGGGAAGGUUAGAAGAAAGAAUUCAUUUUAAAAGAUCAGACAAGCAGAAAAUGGGUGCACAAUCACCCAAGCAUCAGUACUGUGAGUUAAUACGUCCAGUAUCUAGUUAAGCUGACAUAACCUGUAAAGGGGUAAAAAUAAUUUACCUGAUGGGCAUCACCAGAAGGGAUAAUGUAAGCUUGAAGAGGCUCCGAAACAUAUUUACAAUUCUUCAUCACCUGGCGGAGUUGUCUGAGCAGCUCUCCUGUGAUCUUUGGAGACAUGUUUCUGUCUGAAUAAUGGCAAAAAAAAACAACGUCAUUCAGCUGAAAGAGCGCAACAAAUCAUUCACAACAAUCAACUGUGGAUGUUCGCAAAGCACACGAGCAAAAAUAAUGAAUCUCAAUGAUUUAGUCUUCAUUUAAAACCUCAUGCAGUGGCAUUACCAGACAUUUGGGAAGACUUCAGACGACCCGAGGACUGACUCACUCGAACUGGCUGUCUAUUAACGUGGAGCUCACAGAUCACAUCUUGAUCUUUACCCCCGUAACAUGCUGGUUCAGCAACAGGUGUCUUGGAAGUGGUAAAAGUAGUACACAGACUGGAUAUUUCAUUGGGUACCUCCACCACAAUCUUAUUUGAUCCGGUAUAAUAAUUCCGUUUUCAUACAUUGGGCAAUUUUAUCUUCCCCCCCCCCCCCCACCCCACCCGCAAUUUAAACAAAUCUGGAGGGAGUUUGCAUGCUUGUCCAUUUGUGGGUUUUCUCCAGGUAGUUCAGUUAGAAAUGUGAGUGUGAAUGCUUGUUGGAGUCCCCAUGUCAUGUAACUGAUUGCUGACCAGUCUAGAGUGGAGCCGGCCUCUCACCAAAUGUCAACUAAGAUAAGCGCCACUUACCAGUGACCACAAUGAGCGUUAUAUGAAUAAAGACGGAUUGUAUUGUG